GCCGUGUACUGCCCCCCCCCGAGUCCCAACCAGCAGCACCAGCAGCUCCACCAGGGCAGGACGUUCACCACACCGCCACAGCACCACAGCACCACACUCCCGCACCACAAUGGCCAUGGACAACCGCAGUGGAGGCAUAUUAGGGCUGGUGAACCCGUCCUAUGGCGCCUCAGACCCCGGCAUGAAUGUUCCUCUGACCUCCAAGCCAGGACUGUCACAGCUCUCCCCUUACCUGAAUUUUGACCCGAGCUACCUGCAGACCACACAGCCGGAGUUCAUUGCUCUGGAGGGACAGCCGCAGCGCAGGGGGAGAUUUGAACUGGCCUUCUCACAGAUUGGAGGGUCGUGUCUGUUGGGAGCAGGGCUGGGCGGUGGUCAUGGGCUGUACCGAGGCCUGAUGGAGACGGCUGCCUCAGGACACACUGGCAAGAUCAGGAGGACCCAACUUCUCAACUACAUCAUGAAACGCGGAUCGGCCUCGGCAAACACACUCGGAGUCGUCGCCUUCAUGUACUCUGGCCUGGGAUGGCUAAUCUACCACUUCCGAGGCAACCAAGAGGACCACGUGAACACAGUCUCGGCCGCUACCCUCACUGGCCUUCUCUACAAGUCAACAGCUGGGGUGAAAAAAUGCGCAGCUGGAGGUCUUGUGGGGCUCGGAUUGUCUUUGGCCUUUGUUGCAUUUUCUUCCAGGGACAAGCUGCGCGAUCAGUAUGGACGUAAUUUUUAGGUUCUUGUGUCUCUGUGUGUGUGUGUGUGUGUGUGUGUGUGUGGGAGAGAGAGAGAGAGAGAGAGAGAGAGAGAGAGAGAGUGAGUGAGUGACAGAGAGUGUGUGUGUGUGUUAUUCAAAUUUCUUGUCAUAUUUAAAAAGGAAAAAAAUUCAUUAUUACUAGAAAAUAUUGUAGUAACCCCUCUCUCUCUCUCUCUCUCUCUCUCUCUCAGCUGUACAUGUGUUUAGGAAUGUAUAUACCAAAUCUCUCCAUUUAUCCACAAAAUGCAUUAAAAAAAAACAGAAAAACGCA